CUCUUAUAAAGUAGAUUAUUGUCAAAAUUAGAAUGAUAUAGAGAAGAUUAGCAUGGCCCCUGCAAGGGUGAUACACACAAAUCGAGAAAUAGUCCAAAUUUUU